UUCGGUUGAUCCUGCCGAAGGCUACUGCUAUUGGAGUUCGAUUAAGCCAUGCGAGUCUAAGGGGUACUUGUACCCCUGGCAUAAUGCUCAGUAACACGUGGAUAAUCUACCCUUAGGUGGGGCAUAAACCCGGGAAACUGGGGCUAAUUCCCCAUAGAUACAGAAGGCUGGAAUGCCUCUGUAUUCAAAGCUCCGGCGCCUAAGGAUGAGUCUGCGACCUAUCAGGUAGUAGUCAGGGUCACGACCUGACUAGCCAACGACGGGUACGGGGUGUGAGAGCACUUGCCCGGAGAUGGUUUCUGAGACACGAAACCAGGCCCUACGGGGCGCAGCAGGCGCGAAAACUUCGCAAUGCGGGAAACCGUGACGAGGGAACUCCAAGUGUCUAUGCAAUGCAUAGACUGUUUUUCAGCCUAAAUAGCUGUUAGAGUAAGGGGUGGGUAAGACCGGUGCCAGCCGCCGCGGUAACACCGGCACCCCGAGUGGUAGCCACUAUUAUUGGGCCUAAAGCGUUCGUAGCCGGUUUAGUAAAUUCUUGGGUAAAUCGUACAGCUUAACUGUGCGGAUUCCGGGGACACUACUAGACUUGAGACCGGGAGAGAUUAGAGGUACUUGCAGGGGAGCGGUGAAAUGUUGUAAUCCUGCAGGGACCACCAGUGGCGAAGGCGUCUAAUCAUAACGGCUCUGACGGUGAGGAACGAAACCCUGGGGCGCAAACGGGAUUAGAUACCCCGGUAGUCCAGGGCGUAAACGCUGCUGACUUGGUGUUGGAGAUCCUACGAGGGUGUCCAGUGCUGGCGCGAAGGUAUUAAGUCAGCCGCCUGGGGAGUACGGUCGCAAGACUGAAACUUAAAGGAAUUGGCGGGGGAGCACUGCAACGUGUGGAGCGUGCGGUUUAAUUGGAUUCAACGCCGGAAAACUCACCGGGGGCGACGGUUACAUGAAGGCCAAGCUGAUGACUUUGCCUGAUUUUCCGAGAGGUGGUGCAUGGCCGCCGUCAGUUCGUACCGUAAGGCGUUCUGUUAAGUCAGAUAACGAACGAGACCCUCAUCCCUAUU
rnacentral:rRNA from 1 species